rnacentral:lncRNA from 1 species
UGUCUAAAAGUCUUUCACAGCAUCUGUUACAGAAUUGGACCUCAGAGUUUGAACAGACACUUCGGGAGCUGAGAGCGACCAUCAUUCAAGUAAAUUCUACCUGACUGGACCUGUCUUUGAUGGAGGGAUUGUCGUCCUGGAUCACCUCAGCAGUCUCUUAAUUCAAGGAAUGGGUAGGAGUGGGACUUUUUGGAGUGAUCCUCUGCUGUGGAUUAGUGUUACUCCUCUGGUUGCUUUGCAAAUUGAGAUCUCAAACAAGAAAGGACAAAGUAGUGAUCGCCCAGGCACUUGUAGCCCUUGAACAAGGAGCGUCAGACGAUAUCUGGUUGACCAUGCUCAAGCAACAGGUCGCUGGCUGGACAGCUCUUGCACUCCUGGAACCUCGGUUCAUUGCACAGGAUUAGAGUGUCCGGCUUGAGCAGCCCAUGAGGGGUGACGGGCUUAGCAUCGCACAGCGAAGUUCUACCAAAUAUGCUCCCUGGAAGACAUGUCAUAUUACAUGAGGGUUUCUGCCCCAGUUUUCCCUCCCUCGAAAAAUGGCAGUGUGAUGGGUCGGGAGUGCCCUGGGUCCCAACAACAGCCUAAGGGUAUCUCUCUUGUACAGGUUCGCCAACUUUGUACGAGGAUAUGACAUCUGUCUUUGCCCUCCUAUAUCUGGGUGUCCUGUUUGCUUAAAAAAACAGAAGAGGGGGAGAUGUGAGGAGCUGUCCUCACAUAUGUGAGGAGCUGUCCUCACAUACUCCAUUACAAGAUGGAACCGGCAUCCGGCAGAACGGACCUAGUAAAAAGGGCAAUAUGCAGGCGCCUGGUAACUUCCCUACUCAAAGGGACACGUACGCUUUGGUACAUCAUCUGGCAUAAUUGGCAGCGACCAGUCAGAGAGUGACAAGUCCUCGGCGAGGAUAGUUUCCUAAUAAGGGACGGUUAUUCCUCACUCGGCGUCUCUGCAUUGUAAGCUUAUGCUCUCCCUCUCAAGAUGCAUUAAAGCUUUUCUGCAGUAGGAUUCUGUGUGUGCUGCAUCGUUCCUGCUGGCGAGACGUAGCGCGGGACAAUCUACCAUCAAUAAAGCACUUUGAACAAGCAU